UGAACGCUGGCGGCGUGCCUAAUACAUGCAAGUCGAGCGAACGGACGAGAAGCUUGCUUUUCUGAUGUUAGCGGCGGACGGGUGAGUAACAAGUGGAUAACCUACCUAUAAGACUGGGAUAACUUCGGGAAACCGGAGCUAAUACCGGAUAAUAUUUUGAACCGCAUGGUUCAAAAGUGAAAGACGGUCUUGCUGUCACUUAUAGAUGGAUCCGCGCUGCAUUAGCUAGUUGGUAAGGUAACGGCUUACCAAGGCAACGAUGCAUAGCCGACCUGAGAGGGUGAUCGGCCACACUGGAACUGAGACACGGUCCAGACUCCUACGGGAGGCAGCAGUAGGGAAUCUUCCGCAAUGGGCGAAAGCCUGACGGAGCAACGCCGCGUGAGUGAUGAAGGUCUUCGGAUCGUAAAACUCUGUUAUUAGGGAAGAACAUAUGUGUAAGUAACUGUGCACAUCUUGACGGUACCUAAUCAGAAAGCCACGGCUAACUACGUG
rnacentral:rRNA from 1 species